GGGCCGUUAGCUCAAUUGGUAGAGCAUCUGCUUUACACGCAGAGGGUCAGGGGUUCGAGUCCCUUACGGCCCACCA
rnacentral:tRNA from 1 species